ACGUAGGGUGCGAGCGUUAUUCGGAAUUACUGGGCGUAAAGGGUAUGCAGGCGGCCCUUCAAGUCGCGUGUCAAAGUCCAGUGCUCAACGCUGGGUGUGCACGCGAUACUGACGGACUUGAGGGCUGGAGAGGUGAGCGGAAUUCCCAGUGUAGUGGUAAAAUGCGUAGAUAUCGGGAGGAACACCAGCGGCGCAGGCGGCUCACUAGACAGUUUCUGACGCUAAGAUACGAAAGCGUGGGGAGCAAACAG
rnacentral:rRNA from 1 species